rnacentral:lncRNA from 10 species
CCACAAGUAAGUGAGAACAUAUGGUAUUUGUCUUUCUGGUCCUUACUUAUUUCACUUAGCAUAAUGUUCUAAAAUUCCAUCCAAUUUUUCACAAAUGUCAGAAUCUCUUUUGUUUUUAAGGCUGAAUAGUAUUCUAUUGUGUAUAUAUACCACAUUUUCUUUAUUCAUCUGUUAAACGCUUAGGUUGAUUUCAUAACUUAGCUAUUGUGAAUAAUGCUGCAAUGAACAUGAGACUAC